GGAGGAUAAAAGGCAUCUUUUAUCUUUUAAAAGACCUAGUAAUAGGUAUGCUUUAGGAGGGGCUUGCGCCAUAUUAGUUAGUUGGUAGGGUAAUGGCCUACCAAGACGAUGAUGUGUAGCUGGACUGAGAGGUUGAACAGCCACAUUGGGACUGAGACACGGCCCAAACUCCUACGGGAGGCAGCAGUAGGGAAUUUUCGGCAAUGGAGGAAACUCUGACCGAGCAACGCCGCGUGAAUGACGAAGUACUUCGGUAUGUAAAGUUCUUUUAUCAAGGAAGAAAAGCAAAUGGCGAACCAUUUGUUUGCCGGUACUUGAUGAAUAAGCCCCGGCUAAUUAUGUGCCAGCAGCCGCGGUAAGACAUAAGGGGCAAGUGUUAUCCGGAAUUAUUGGGCGUAAAGGGUGCGUAGGCGGUCUAGUAAGUCAGUGGUGUAAUGGCAACGCUUAACGUUGUCCGGCUAUUGAAACUGCUAAACUUGAGUUAGAUAGAGGCGAGUGGAAUUCCAUGUGUAGCGGUAAAAUGCGUAAAUAUAUGGAGGAACACCAGAGGCGUAGGCGGCUCGCUGGGUCUUAACUGACGCUGAGGCACGAAAGCGUGGGGAGCAAACAGGAUUAGAUACCCUGGUAGUCCACGCCGUAAACGAUGAGUACUAAGUGUCGGGUUAAACCGGUACUGAAGUUAACACAUUAAGUACUCCGCCUGAGUAGUACGUACGCAAGUAUGAAACUUAAAGGAAUUGACGGGACUCCGCACAAGCGGUGGAUCAUGUUGUUUAAUUCGAAGAUACCCGAAAAACCUUACCAGGUCUUGACAUGUUUUUGCAAAAUGAUAGUAAUAUCGUGGAGGUUACCAGAAACACAGGUGGUGCAUGGUUGUCGUCAGCUCGUGUCGUGAGAUGUUAGGUUAAGUCCUAAAACGAGCGAAACCCUUAUCGUUAGUUGCCAGCACGUUAUGGUGGGGACUUUAACGAGACUGCCAAUGAUAAAUUGGAGGAAGGUGAGGAUCACGUCAAAUCAGCAUGCCCCUUAUGACCUGGGCUACAAACGUGAUACAAUGGCUGUUACAAAGGGUAGCUGAAACGCAAGUUCUUGGCCAAUCCCCAAAAACAGUCCCAGUCCGGAUUGAAGUCUGCAACUCGACUUCAUGAAGUUGGAAUCGCUAGUAAUCGCGAAUCAGCAUGUCGCGGUGAAUACGUUCGCGGGG
rnacentral:rRNA from 1 species